rnacentral:tRNA from 1 species
UGACCUAUGGUGUAAUGGUAACACAGCAGAUUCUGGUUCUGUUAUUCAGGGUUCGAGUCCUUGUAGGUCAA